UUCCAUUCUAGAGCUACAAGUUUCAGUUUGAAUCCUUGUCUGGGCUAAAGUCCCCAUAAGGGACUGGAGGUCAAUCUGGACAAAGAUCAAGUACUUCAAACCACAGCUGUUUUCCACGGCUUUUCUCACUUAGUUGAUUUUCCAACACUGCCUUUUUCAGAAAAAAACUGUGUUAGUACAGCAUGUCGAUGAAGCUCAUAAAAGGCUGUGCUGCAAUGUACUAUUCAGUGUCCCUGGGUAAGCCUGGUCUCUUUGAAGAGUCUUUGCAGGAAGGGUGAGAACAGUCUUCAGAUCAAGAUGCAGCAUGGAUAAAUAGUGCCUCUUUCUAGCCUAGUAUUCCCCUGUCAAAGGGAACCGUCAGAGAUGACACAAGAGCAACACCAGGAGGACUCUUCACAAUCUCAAAGGAAAACAGCUCUCAGGCCACAGGACUACAUCUAUAAAUCUUCAAAAUCCUGUAUCCAGGGCUGUUUCAUCUGUUGUAAACCUGGAGCUUUGCACAGAUGAACCAAGGAGAAUGCUGAAACAGUGCCCUACAGCUGUUGGUAACCAAAUGAGGACAAUGAACAUGAUUCAAAUAUCUGACAAGGAGUGGAAUAUGAAUACAAAGUUUGAUAAAUAAUAAACCUGAAUAAAUAUUUAAGUUAAUCA
rnacentral:lncRNA from 1 species